GAAGAAGAAGAAGAAGAAGUCAUAGGAAUCUUUGAUAAUGAAGGCCAUUCUGAGGCAGGCAGGCAGUGCAGCAAGGCACAAGACAAGAAUGUGGAAGCAAAAAACAAAACAAAACAAAAACAAGACAACAAUUCUACCAAUGUUUUAAUAAUGAGAAGAACAUAAGUCCACCGUUUUGUUGCAUUCUUAUUAUUAUUGUUAUAAUUGUUCUUUUACGUCCAACUGUUUAUUUAUAGGUACAUGAUGGUAUAUUAGUAAUGUAUGCAAUGAAUAUUAUUUAACAAAAAGAUAUACAAAACCAAGACCUUAAUGACAUAUGUAAGAAAAUUAUCAUAUACAAGCAUUAUUUUCUAAAAUAAAGACAUUAAUCCUAUUGACACUUAACUUAU
rnacentral:lncRNA from 1 species